AUGCAGUCGAACGCUUUUUCUUUCACCGGAGCUUGCUCCACCGAAAGAAAAAGAGUGGCGAACGGGUGAGUAACACGUGGGUAACCUGCCCAUCAGAAGGGGAUAACACUUGGAAACAGGUGCUAAUACCGUAUAACACUAUUUUCCGCAUGGAAGAAAGUUGAAAGGCGCUUUUGCGUCACUGAUGGAUGGACCCGCGGUGCAUUAGCUAGUUGGUGAGGUAACGGCUCACCAAGGCAACGAUGCAUAGCCGACCUGAGAGGGUGAUCGGCCACACUGGGACUGAGACACGGCCCAGACUCCUACGGGAGGCAGCAGUAGGGAAUCUUCGGCAAUGGACGAAAGUCUGACCGAGCAACGCCGCGUGAGUGAAGAAGGUUUUCGGAUCGUAAAACUCUGUUGUUAGAGAAGAACAAGGAUGAGAGUAGAACGUUCAUCCCUUGACGGUAUCUAACCAGAAAGCCACGGCUAACUACGUGCCAGCAGCCGCGGUAAUACGUAGGUGGCAAGCGUUGUCCGGAUUUAUUGGGCGUAAAGCGAGCGCAGGCGGUUUCUUAAGUCUGAUGUGAAAGCCCCCGGCUCAACCGGGGAGGGUCAUUGGAAACUGGGAGACUUGAGUGCAGAAGAGGAGAGUGGAAUUCCAUGUGUAGCGGUGAAAUGCGUAGAUAUAUGGAGGAACACCAGUGGCGAAGGCGGCUCUCUGGUCUGUAACUGACGCUGAGGCUCGAAAGCGUGGGGAGCGAACAGGAUUAGAUACCCUGGUAGUCCACGCCGUAAACGAUGAGUGCUAAGUGUUGGAGGGUUUCCGCCCUUCAGUGCUGCAGCAAACGCAUUAAGCACUCCGCCUGGGGAGUACGACCGCAAGGUUGAAACUCAAAGGAAUUGACGGAUCACUAGUG
rnacentral:rRNA from 1 species